UGUUUCAAAGAUUCACUCAAAUCAAAGAUGGAUUGAUUAUAACUAGACCAAACCAUUUCUUGGAGCCGUAAUUCACGCAGCAGGGACAAAAUAAAGCAUUACUUGAGAGGCCAAGUCGGGAAAUAUUGAAUAACAGGUUCUCAGAAUUAAGCUCCACUUUUGAACCUGGCCGCCCUGCCUGCGUUCUGAAUCAACUUGAAUCUGAAGAACUUAAAAUAUUGAAGACAUAGAAGAAGGAGCUUCAUGUGAGAUGCUUGUUUUAAAGGCGAAAAAAGCAAAAAUGGAACCAGCAGAUCAAGUCCAUACCAAUAAUUUUCCACCCACCUGGAUUUAUGACACGUAUUGACGAAAGUCGCAUGUCUCAUGAUCAUGAGCUGAGGCCACCUACUGCUUGAUUACCGAACCAAUAAGAAAAUUGUUAGCUCAUUGUAGUUUUUAAAUAGAAAUGCUUAGUUGGAUUUUGUGUUUUUCAUCACUCU